rnacentral:lncRNA from 1 species
AAGAUACAACAGGACAGGCUUUGAGGACAGAAACCCAGGGUCACGUUCCUGCUCCAUCACUUUCCAUCAGCAUGGUCUCGGGCAAGGGAAUCGUCAAAUUCCCCAGGAACUUAGCUGAAGAGUUUCGUGAGCCGGAAGUGCCUCUGAAAGAAGUGAGCAGAGAGAAGGGUCUCAAGAUGGCCAGGUUUUGGACUUACACCAUAGGCUCUACUGGUCCUUAGGCCUUUGGACUGAGGCUGGAACCACAUCCUCAGCUCUCCUGGAUCUCCAGCUUGGCAACUGCAGACCUUGGGACAUUUCAGAUUCCAUAAUCAUGACGAAGGCGAUGGCAGCAGUUUUCCAGGCUAGCUGUCUUCACAACCCGAUGGCUCUCUUCUUUUCUGCUGCCACAGAGACUGACUGUCUGCCUCCUGCAAAUUUGAAAUUUGGCAAACCUGCCUCCUCUGCUUCUCAGAACCAAACUGGGGCCAGGAGAACUUCUGACCCAAGUGUUGAUCACCUCUCUUCCUGCACCUCACUGUGCACCCUCUGCUCAGGAAAUGCCUUUGGCGUGUUGCUGACGUCUGUCCCUGCUCCAUCUCUUACCACCCUGCACUUCACCCUUUCCCACACAGGUUUCACCUGAUCUCAGCUGCUUUGGGCAGACCAUCCAGGUAUUUUGGAGUCUGAAAAGGAUCUCUGUCUCUAAGUCUGGUGCAAAUGGAGUUUGGGGGUUUUAAAAUUCAUUCUUCUUGCUGCUGUUUCACAAUUUCUCAGAAAAGGUGAAAAUGCAGACUUUGGCAGUUAUGUUCAAUAUGAAAAGUCUUAAUAAAGUAAUUUUUGACCUAAAGCCCACCAGUAUUUCUGGAACAAUUCAGUCAAUCUUUGAACUUGGUCACAUAAAGUCUUAUUAGAAACACAACGGGGAUUUUGGAGACAGGACUAGUGAACUUUGUGUAGUUAAAUAGAAACUUGAAUUGCCAGUGUAGAGUACU